GGGCAUCUUGCUGGCUAUCCCUGCAUACCUGAGGUCAUCUGAAGACUGAUGUCUGUUCUCUCCACUAAACAUUCCUUCAGUCAGUAUUUUGACAAUAUGUUGAUCUCAGAUGGGAAGAAACCCUCCCACCGUGGUUGUAAAGAAGAAGGACUGUAGAAAACAGGGAGAGCUUGGGCCAUAUGAAUGUCAGUGGGUUACAGGGAAGCCAACACAACUCACAACUCAACGGUGAAGACCCAUCAUCUCAUUCACACAGCCUCCGGCUGCUGAGGGAUUUCCUUCUGCAAGCCUCACUGCAGGUGAAGACCUCAUAACAACGUUUGCAGGGUGACAGCUGGACACCAACAGAACGUCCGCACUGAUAGCAGUAUUUGAAGAUGGGCAGCCUGGAACAAGGGUAGUUGUCAAACAAAGUACAUUAUUGCUCUUUUUAGCCUUAUUCCUGAUUAUUAUUCUAAAGUUGGAAUACAAAACGAAGAGUACUUGGACUAAGGGUGCUGGUGGGACUGGGAAGCAGACUGUUAGAUCUAACUGCAAGCUGGGCUCUGCUCUUACAAGUUUUUUUAAGAAUUUAGGAACUCUUUACAGCACAGAACUCCUUAGCAUGCCCUGUCCAAGCCAAAUAGUUCUAUGCUUACGAAAUCUGACAGGAUUAGAUGUAAGACAAAGCCAAAGGCUACUCAUGCAAAACCAUCAUUCUUGUGAUACAAUUGUUAUUUUCUUAAAAGCUAAGAUACAUCUGAAUACUUCAUAGCUUUCACAGGCAAUACUGAAUAAAUUUUAUAUGCUACCAAA